rnacentral:miRNA from 1 species
ACUACCAGGGCUCCUGAUAUAUAUAUACGUAUGUGUGUGUGUGUGUGUGUGUGUGUAUAUAUAUAUACACACACACACAUACACUAC